UACGAAGGGGGCUAGCGUUGCUCGGAAUGACUGGGCGUAAAGGGCGCGUAGGCGGAUGGCACAGUCAGAUGUGAAAUUCCCGGGCUUAACCUGGGGGCUGCAUUUGAUGCGUGUUGUCUUGAGUUCGGAAGAGGGUCGUGGAAUUCCCAGUGUAGAGGUGAAAUUCGUAGAUAUUGGGAAGAACACCGGUGGCGAAGGCGGCGACCUGGGCCAAUAUUGACGCUGAGGUGCGAAAGCGUGGGGAGCAAACAGG
rnacentral:rRNA from 1 species